UACGUAGGCAGCAAGCGUUGUUCGGAGUUACUGGGCGUAAAGGGGGCGUAGGCGGCUUCUUAAGGCUGGUGGGAAAUCUCCCGGCUCAACUGGGAGGGUGCGCCGGAUACUGAGGGGCUAGAGUGUGGGAGAGGAAAGUGGAAUUCCUGGUGUAGCGGUGAAAUGCGUAGAUAUCAGGAGGAACACCGGUGGUGUAAACGGCUUUCUGGACCAUAACUGACGCUGAGGCACGAAAGCGUGGGUAGCAAACAGG
rnacentral:rRNA from 1 species